AGAUUGGUACUUAAAGGGGCAUUCCACUCCAGAAGCGGGUAUCAUAAUUCAUCAGAGAAUAAAUUGUUAUGCUUGAAUCAAGUUUGUUUUGUCAAAUGUACCAUGAGUUGAAGCCUGAACGCAGGGCGUGCAUUAUAGCGAUCGACUUCUUGAAUUCCCCGCUAGUCCCUUACCAACAAUCCCAGAAUUCAAUGCGCAUGGUGUGUUACGGACGGGCUGGAUCGACAAAGCCGCCAAGGACUCUUCCAGUUGAAAAGAAAAGAGAAGGACGUGGUCGAGGAAAAGCCCAAGUCAAAAGUUGACCUAAGGCAGCGGUUGGACUACAGUAAGAGGCUAGGAGACUAUGUGGUCAAAAACAUCUAUGAGAAGAAACAGGACUACACUUUCAAAAAGAAAGGUGUUGAAGGCUGUCAUACACAGGCGUCGGGAGUUUUGUGGUGGCUAGGUGCUCCAAAAGCCUGACUUUCCAGGCCAGACAAUAAAACUGCAAUUGCACAGUACCGUUCAAGGUUUACAGGCUAGUAAACGAGUCUCGUUUGGAACUCUACUGUUUUCAUGGUCAUGUUUUCUCAUUUUUGUUAUGUUUUUUUAGCAUACAUGCUUUAUAUGACAAAACUACAUGUAGUUUCUGUUUUGAACGUUUCAAAACUGCUGCUCCUAUUUCUCUUAGACACAAGAAAUGUGAAAAUAUAAAUAUUAAUUCAUGAACAUGCAACUUGAACAUGUUGGCAGUAGCCCAUAUACUUCAGUUUAAAUCCAGGUAGAUCCUGAUAUACUGAUUUUAUAUGACAGGCUAUAUUAUUAUGUUAAUAAGGACAAGUUCCCAUUGUAUAUCCAGUGGAUCAUUUUAUUCAUAAAUAUCCUGCCUACAUAUGUCAGAAACAAAUGCUGUUUUACAACAAUAUAUGUGUGUCCACCAAAGUUUUCCCUGCCUAUUUUUGAAAAUUACACAGAAAUGUAAUUGUAUAUUGAUAUAAUAUACAUGUCUUUCUUGCUGUAUAUCUAGUUCAAAGGAAUAUGAAAAUAAGGAUACUUAAUAUGUUCAAGGUUUCUAUUUGGCCUGUUGUAUAAACCAUGAAUAGGUAGAUAAAUUUAUACAGGUGAGGUAGAUAGAUGUCCGCAUUUGGUUGAAUGCACCUGUUAUAGUGCAAAUAAUGUGGAAACUGUGUAACACUGUUAUCAAGAUUGUUUUAUUUUAGCAGUAAAGCCUCGCCCUAAUUCUAAUUCUAACCCCAAGCUUAACAAGAAUGGAUAACCCUAACAGUAAAAAGUUAGUAGAAUACAGAUUUAUAGAUCACUCUCUGGUUUAACGUCAGAUCAAUUUAGCAAUUGAACAUGUGGUGGCGAAAUAUCUUAACAGGAAAAUGUCCUAUGUAAUUAGUCUCAUCUUUAGAGGGAUAAGUUUGUCUUAUUUUGGUGACUGGACAGGCUGGAACCACGCGCCACACUGAUCUCCCAAGAUGAUUCUUGUGGACCCAGCACGAAAACUGUCUGUACGCUGACAGUUGUAAGAUUCUGGGAGAAACAAAAAUGCAUGUAAAUUGUAAUGUUAUAUUUUUUUGUAUUAAAAGAUUGCAACAAGUA